rnacentral:rRNA from 1 species
UAGGGAAUCUUGCGCAAUGGGCGAAAGCCUGACGCAGCAACGCCGCGUGGGGGAUGAAGGCCCUCGGGUUGUAAACCCCUUUCAGCAGGGACGAUUGUGACGGUACCUGCAGAAGAAGCCCCGGCCAACUACGUGCCAGCAGCCGCGGUAACACGUAGGGGGCAAGCGUUGUCCGGAUUUAUUGGGCGUAAAGAGCUCGUAGGCGGCUCGGUAAGUCGGGUGUGAAAACUCGGGGCUCAACCCCGAGACGCCACUCGAUACUGCUGUGGCUUGAGUCCGGUAGGGGAGCGUGGAAUUCCUGGUGUAGCGGUGAAAUGCGCAGAUAUCAGGAGGAACACCGGUGGCGAAGGCGGCGCUCUGGGCCGGUACUGACGCUGAGGAGCGAAAGCGUGGGGAGCAAACAG